rnacentral:rRNA from 1 species
AUUGAACGCUGGCGGCAUGCCUUACACAUGCAAGUCGAACGGCAGCGCGGGAGCAAUCCUGGCGGCGAGUGGCGAACGGGUGAGUAAUACAUCGGAACGUGCCCAAUCGUGGGGGAUAAC